rnacentral:rRNA from 1 species
AUUGAACGCUGGCGGCAUGCUUUACACAUGCAAGUCGAACGGUAACAGGGUGCUUGCACCGCUGACGAGUGGCGAACGGGUGAGUAAUGCGUCGGAACGUGCCGAGUAGUGGGGGAUAACGCAGCGAAAGUUGUGCUAAUACCGCAUACGUACUGAGGUAGAAAGUGGGGGACCUUCGGGCCUCACGCUAUUCGAGCGGCCGACGUCUGAUUAGCUAGUAGGUGAGGUAAGAGCUCACCUAGGCGACGAUCAGUAGCGGGUCUGAGAGGAUGAUCCGCCACACUGGGACUGAGACACGGCCCAGACUCCUACGGGAGGCAGCAGUGGGGAAUUUUGGACAAUGGGCGCAAGCCUGAUCCAGCCAUGCCGCGUGUCUGAAGAAGGCCUUCGGGUUGUAAAGGACUUUUGUCAGGGAGGAAAUCCUAGUGGCUAAUAACUGCUGGGGAUGACAGUACCUGAAGAAUAAGCACCGGCUAACUACGUGCCAGCAGCCGCGGUAAAAC